rnacentral:rRNA from 1 species
UACGUAGGGUGCAAGCGUUAAUCGGAAUUACUGGGCGUAAAGCGUGCGCAGGCGGUUAUGCAAGACAGAUGUGAAAUCCCCGGGCUUAACCUGGGAACUGCAUUUGUGACUGCAUAGCUGGAGUACGGUAGAGGGGGGAUGGAAUUCCGCGUGUAGCAGUGAAAUGCGUAGAUAUGCGGAGGAACACCGAUGGCGAAGGCAGUCCCCCUGGACCUGUACUGACGCU